CGGAGCGUGGCGCAGCCUGGUAGCGCACCUGCUUUGGGAGCAGGGGGUCGCUGGUUCGAAUCCAGUCGCUCCGACCA
rnacentral:tRNA from 2 species